rnacentral:rRNA from 1 species
AGAGUUUGAUCCUGGCUCAGAACGAACGCUGGCGGCAUGCCUAACACAUGCAAGUCGAACGAGGCCUUCGGGUCUAGUGGCGCACGGGUGCGUAACGCGUGGGAAUCUACCCUUCGGUUCGGAAUAACUCGGGGAAACCUGUGCUAAUACCGGAUAAUGACGUAAGUCCAAAGAUUUAUCGCCGAAGAUGAGCCCGCGUAGGAUUAGCUAGUUGGUGAGGUAAUGGCUCACCAAGGCGACGAUCCGUAGCUGGUUUGAGAGGAUGAUCAGCCACACUGGGACUGAGACACGGCCCAGACUCCUACGGGAGGCAGCAGUGGGGAAUAUUGGACAAUGGGCGCAAGCCUGAUCCAGCCAUGCCGCGUGUGUGAAGAAGGCCUUAGGGUUGUAAAGCACUUUCAUUGAGGAGGAAGGCCUUAAAGUUAAUAUCUUUAAGGAUUGACGUUACUCAAAGAAGAAGGACCGGCUAACUCCGUGCCAGCAGCCGCGGUAAUACGGAGGGUCCAAGCGUUAAUCGGAAUUACUGGGCGUAAAGCGCGCGUAGGCGGUUAGUUAAGUGGGAUGUGAAAUACCUGGGCUCAACCUGGGAAUUGCGUUCCAAACUGGCUAGCUAGAGUGCAGUAGAGGGUGGUGGAAUUUCCAGUGUAGCGGUGAAAUGCGUAGAGAUUGGAAGGAACAUCAGUGGCGAGGCGACUGCCUGGGACUGACACUGACGCUGAGGUGCGAAAGCGUGGGGAGCAAACAGGAUUAGAUACCCUGGUAGUCCACGCCGUAAACGAUGUCUACUAGUUGUUGGGGGUCUUGUACCCUUAGUAACGGCANNUAACGCAUUAAGUAGACCGCCUGGGGAGUACGGUCGCAAGAUUAAAACUCAAAGGAAUUGACGGGGACCCGCACAAGCGGUGGAUGAUGUGGAUUAAUUCGAUGCAACGCGAAAAACCUUACCUACCCUUGACAUGUCUGGAAUCCUUAAGAGAUUAGGGAGUGCUCGCAAGAGAACCGGAACACAGGUGCUGCAUGGCUGUCGUCAGCUUGUGUCGUGAGAUGUUGGGUUAAGUCCCGCAACGAGCGCAACCCUUGUCAUUAGUUGCUACGAAAGGGCACUCUAAUGAGACUGCCGGUGACAAACCGGAGGAAGGUGGGGAUGACGUCAAGUCCUCAUGGCCCUUAUGGGUAGGGCUUCACACGUCAUACAAUGGUCGGGACAGAGGGUCGCCAACCCGCGAGGGGGAGCCAAUCCCAGAAACCCGAUCGUAGUCCGGAUCGCAGUCUGCAACUCGACUGCGUGAAGUCGGAAUCGCUAGUAAUCGCGGAUCAGAAUGUCGCGGUGAAUACGUUCCCGGGUCUUGUACACACCGCCCGUCACACCAUGGGAGUGGGUUUUACCAGAAGUAGUUAGCCUAACCGCAAGGAGGGCGAUUACCACGGUAGGAUUCAUGACUGGGGUGAAGUCGUAACAAGGUA